CAAAAACCUGCCACUUUUGUCUUCAAUUCCUCUUCAAAAGCUUUUUGUUUUCGGGGCUCUGUGGAAAUACACACUGCAUGCUGGCAAAAAGGGGGAACUAGAGCUUAGUAGCACCCCGCCUCCUCAUCCCCUGCUCCUGUGCACAAUAUCCUCUUCUAAACACCCCCCCCCCCACACACACACAUUUUUUUUGCUAUCUCUUUGGUUUUAAUGAGGCACGCACAAACUGUUUGGAUGAUUGUCUAGACAGAUGGUGCUCAGUGUGUGGAACAGAAGCUGAGACGAGGUAAAGAGGGACAGACUCCUUCUCCGUCAUGGGAUGCUGCAGUGUGACCCAGAGGCAUACUGGAGUGGACGAGGUGGGCCCUGAUGAGAUUGAGCUCCUGGAACUCUCUGGAGACAAUUUAGGUGUGUGGAGCCUGGGAGAAACCAGACUUCAGCUGUCUGUGAGGAACAGCAGAGACGAGCAGCCCCCGCCACCACGCAGACCUUCAAUACCACACCUGGAACAAGAGGUGGUGCUGUGGGGAAAGAGCAGAGAUGAGCUCCACCAAAGGAUAUACUCUCAACAGCCAAUCAGGGGCUGGGAGGGCCAAGCUGCCCACAUGUAUGGAGAGAUCAUCCACUCCUCACUGGUGUCUCUCUACAUCAGCCACACACAGGAAACCCGAGAACACUUCCUGGUUUUGUUCUCUUUCCACCUACUCAUCCUUUCUCUGGACCACUCUCGACAAGACUUUGUUUAUGAGGGCAUUCUUCCCCUUUCUGGACUUUCCUUCCAAGUCGUCUCUCUGGACUUGGACGCGUCACAUUCGCCACACAUGUUUGAAAUCAGCAGUCCAGUGAUGGACUCCAAGGUGUUCACAUGUGCCAGUGCGGCAGACCUACAGAAAUGGAUGCAGUACGCAGAAGACAGGAGAUACAAGGCCAUGAUGCAGCCCAUGAGUCCCUCCCACUGCGCUCUCUCCUAUCUAUUACCGUGUGAUGAGAACUGGAAAAGAGAAGAACUGAAAAAAUACUUACUACAAGCUCCAAUAUGGCAAUGGGAGGGCUCGCCCAUACAGCACAUGGGUCAGCCGAGCUACGUAUCUAUUGUCCACAUCAUCAACACACAGAGACAGG
rnacentral:lncRNA from 1 species